AGAGCCAUAGAUCCUAGGCGUCUCACGAUCCUGUAUGUCAUGGACGAUGGACCAAGUCAUCGUCACCCACACAUGACACACCACCUCUAUUCUUCUCUCAAACCCUUAUCCCACAUCCACUCCAUUUUCCAGAUCCAACCUCGUAUCAACACUUCCUCUGUUUCUGAUGCAUGAACGACCACAACAGCAAAUGGGUACCAGCAGAGGAUUACCCUCAAGCGCUGGAGAUUUUGAAAGCUGCCCUUGCAAACUGUGAAAUGGUGCACAGAGCUGAAGCUAAGCAGAAAUCAAUACCCCGCUUCCAAGCAGACCCAGAAAGCUGAGAAGUCGUUAAGUACAGUCUGCCUGGAGACCCAAUUGCUAGACAACACCAUGACAGGGUAAUACACUAGUGAAUCAAGCAGCUAUGGAUGUCUUGAAUCAAGGCCUGGUCAUCCAAAGUAGAAGUUUUCCAGUCUCCAUGGAAGCGUUACACUGACACUAUAGAGAGAUAGACAACUUGUGUUUCAAGCAACUUUGGGAUGUCUUGAAUCAUGGCCUGGUCAUCCAAAGGAUUUUCGCCAUCGUCCAACCUCUGGCUCCAAAGAUCAUGACCGAGGAUCCUCUGAAUUUGUACCUUCAGAUUAUAGACUGUAUCAGUCAACAACAUGUCAAUUACUGUCAAGAUGUCAGACGAUCCUGGCCUCAUGAUAUGUAAACCGAUCUUCACUGGAAGCAUCUCAGGUGCGUUUUGAUUUGCAGCAGAGUCAUCCCUAUAUUAAACACAAGACAUAUAACUGAGAGUCUUAAGAUACAUAUUACUGCAGUAACUACACUUAAAAAACAAAUUCUAUACACAUGUAAAUGAUGUUUUACUUGAGUUUGAUUGUGUUUUUUGGAUAGCAUUUUGAUAUUCCAGCAACAGAACCAAGGUAUUUCCAUGAGGAAGAGAUCCACAGCUUGGUCGAUAGGAAUAAAAGAAUGCUUGGGCAACUUUGGGGACUUUACAGAUAUGUUGCAUAGUUGUUGGUUUUGGGAUAUCUUGAUUGAUUUACCUUUGAUCAUGUAUGCAGUCUACGCAUAUUCCUCUGAUAAUGAUGUUUAACAAUGUGUUUCCAAUACUGUAUUUCUUAAGACUAUUUUUUCUCUUC